rnacentral:rRNA from 1 species
UACGUAGGGUGCAAGCGUUGUCCGGAAUUAUUGGGCGUAAAGAGCUCGUAGGCGGUUUGUCGCGUCGAAUGUGAAAACCCGGGGCUCAACCCCGGGCCUGCAUUCGAUACGGGCAGACUAGAGUUCGGUAGGGGAGUCUGGAAUUCCUGGUGUAGCGGUGAAAUGCGCAGAUAUCAGGAGGAACACCGGUGGCGAAGGCGGGACUCUGGGCCGAUACUGACGCUGAGGCGCGAAAGCCAGGGGAGCGAACGGG